GACGAACGCUGGCGGCGUGCUUAACACAUGCAAGUCGAACGGAAAGGCCCCUUUGGGGGUACUCGAGUGGCGAACGGGUGAGUAACACGUGAGUAACCUGCCCUUGACUUCGGGAUAACUUCAGGGAACUGGGGCUAAUACCGGAUAGGAAUCCUUGCUGCAUGGUGGGGGUUGGAAAGCUUCGGCGGUUUUGGAUGGACUCGCGGCUUAUCAGCUUGUUGGUGGGGUAGUGGCUUACCAAGGCUUUGACGGGUAGCCGGCCUGAGAGGGCGACCGGCCACAUUGGGACUGAGAUACGGCCCAGACUCCUACGGGAGGCAGCAGUGGGGAAUAUUGCACAAUGGGCGGAAGCCUGAUGCAGCAACGCCGCGUGCGGGAUGACGGCCUUCGGGUUGUAAACCGCUUUUAGCAGGGGCGAAGCUUGUGGUGACGGUACCUGCAGAAGAAGCACCGGCUAACUACGUG
rnacentral:rRNA from 1 species